rnacentral:rRNA from 1 species
GACAGAGGAGCCAAGCGUUGUCCGGAUUGACUGGGCGUAAAGCGCACGCAGGCGGAUGCGCGCGUGGGGUGUGAAAUCUGGCCGCUUAACGGCCAGGCGCCAUCCCAUACGGCGCGUCUGGAGUGAUGCAGAGGUCGAUGGAAUUGCCGGUGUAGUGGUGAAAUGCGCAGAUAUCGGGAGGAACACCAGUAGCGAAGGCGGCACUCUGGGCCGGUACUGACGCUGAGGAGCGAAAGCGUGGGGAGCAAACAGG